rnacentral:rRNA from 1 species
CCUACGGUGGUCUGCAGUGAGGAAUAUUGGUCAAUGGACGGGAGUCUGAACCAGCCAAGCAGCGUGAAGGAUGAAUGCCCAAUGUGUUGUAAACUUCUUUUAUCUGGGAAUAAAAUCUUCCACGAGUGGGAUUUUGUAGGUACCUUAUGAAUAAGGAUCGGCUAACUCCGUGCCAGCAGCCGCGGUAAUACGGAGGAUACGAGCGUUAUCCGGAUUUAUUGGGUUUAAAGGGAGCGUAGGUGGAUUGUUAAGUCAGUUGUGAAAGUUUGAGGCUCAACCGUAAAAUUGCAGUUGAAACUGGCAGGCUUGAGUACAGUAGAGGUGUGCGGAAUGCGUGGUGUAGCGGUGAAAUGCUUAGAUAUCACGAAGAACUCCGAUUGCGAAGGCAGCUCACUGGACUGAAACUGACACUGAGGCUCGAAAGUGUGGGUAUCAAACAGGAUUAGAUACCCGUGUAGUC